rnacentral:rRNA from 1 species
UACGUAGGGUGCGAGCGUUGCCCGGAUUUAUUGGGCGUAAAGGGCGCGUAGGCGGCCACGCACGUCCGUUGUGAAAUCGCCCGGCUCAACUGGGCGGGGUCAGCGGAUACGGUGUGGCUAGAGCAAGCUAGGGGGCAAUGGAAUUCCCGGUGUAGUGGUGGAAUGCGUAGAGAUCCGGAAGAACACCGGUGGCGAAGGCGGCCUGCUGGGCAGUUGCUGACACUGAGGCGCGACAGCGUGGGGAGCAAACAGG